rnacentral:rRNA from 1 species
UAGGGAAUCUUCGGCAAUGGACGGAAGUCUGACCGAGCAACGCCGCGUGAGUGAAGAAGGUUUUCGGAUCGUAAAGCUCUGUUGUAAGAGAAGAACGAGUGUGAGAGUGGAAAGUUCACACUGUGACGGUAUCUUACCAGAAAGGGACGGCUAACUACGUGCCAGCAGCCGCGGUAAUACGUAGGUCCCGAGCGUUGUCCGGAUUUAUUAGGCGUAAAGCGAGCGCAGGCGGUUAGAUAAGUCUGAAGUUAAAGGCUGUGGCUUAACCAUAGUAGGCUUUGGAAACUGUUUAACUUGAGUGCAAGAGGGGAGAGUGGAAUUCCAUGUGUAGCGGUGAAAUGCGUAGAUAUAUGGAGGAACACCGGUGGCGAAAGCGGCUCUCUGGCUUGUAACUGACGCUGAGGCUCGAAAGCGUGGGGAGCAAACAGGAUUAGAUACCCUGGUAGUCCACGCUGUAAACGAUGAGUGCUAGGUGUUAGACCCUUUCCGGGGUUUAGUGCCGUAGCUAACGCAUUAAGCACUCCGCCUGGGGAGUACGACCGCAAGGUUG